rnacentral:rRNA from 1 species
GAUGAACGCUGGCGGCGUGCUUAAUACAUGCAAGUCCAGCGAACGGACGAGAAGCUUGCUUUUCUGAUGUUAGCGGCGGACGGGUGAGUAACACGUGGAUAACCUACUUAUAAGACUGGGAUAACUUCGAGAAACCGGAGCUAAUACCGGAUAAUAUUUUGAACCGCAUGGUUCAAUAGUGAAAGACGGUCUUGCCGUCACUUAUAGACUGAUCCGCGCGGCAUUAGCUAUUUGGUAAGGUAACGGCUUACCAAGGCAACUAUGCAUAGCCGACCUGAGAGGGUGAUCGGCCACACUGGAACUGAGGCACGGUCCAGACUCCGACGGGAGGCAGCAGUAGGGAAUCUUGCGAAAUGGGCGAAAGCCUGACGGAGCAACGCCGCGUGAGUGAUGAAGGUCUUCGGAUCGUAAAACUCUGUUAUUAGGGAAGAACAUAUGUGUGAGUAACUGUACACAUCUUGACGGUACCUAUUCAGAAAGCCACGGCUAACUACGUG